CUUUUCUUAAGAGCUCCUGAAUAUAGAUAUAUAUAUAUAUUUAAUACACUUUAAAAAACCUGAACUACUCUGCUUGUCAGGCUUUACAGCCUGCCACGAUUACGACGCAUGAGAAGCCUUAUGGUAUAAAGCAGCAGGACGGGAUGGAUGCACACUUUUGCUGAGGGCAUGAAGGUGAGGCUGGCACAUGCCACAGGCCUCCCACCACCACAGUAGCCCAAAAACCCCAGUGAGGGUCCAGCCACCAAACUGCAGACCGCACCGAUCGCUGCAACUUGGAGAAUUUUCACCUCGUAGGAAGCGCGUGGUGACAGCGCUUUCCUGUUAUGAUUCAUCUCGGAGGGAUUUAUGCGUUUUAUGAAUCAAAACACUGCGAUUUCGCAGCUCGCUGAGCGCUUUUUUUUUUUCCCCAGCCCAGCUUCUGGCUUUGUGCUCCAUCUACCGGCUGGCAGCCCCGCAGCCACCGAGAGCAGAUACCUGCCUACCUGUGCGGCCUUGGGCACGGGGAGCAGGUCACUUCUGCUGCCUUGCUGCAGCACCCGGUGUGCUUUAUUAAACCCCAAGUGAUUUAAUCAAAGUGGUGUUUGCCCAACACAUCCGGGAAGCGAUACUUUCAUUACCAGAUGCCAAUCUUUCUCCUGUGUUGUUUGGUGGUGAGCAAGCCGGUUAGCGUUCAGGGGCAGAUGCAAGUCAUUGGAAAAGGCAUUUCUGUGAUGUUACCUUCUGCAAGAUCUAGGAGAUCCCACAGAUCCUUAGGCCAGAAGGUCCCGUUAUGCUCAUCUGGUCUGACCUCCUGCAUUACACAGGGCAUACAAUUUCAUACUGCGAUCUCUUCAUCUAUACAAGUUAUUUGCAGCUGAGCUAAAUCAUAGCUUAUAGAAAGAUAGUCAAAAUACAUACAGCCCUGUGUAGCACUCCUAAAUCCAGACUUUAAGUUUCCUUUGAAACAGUCCUCAAUUAGAAGCUUCUGUCCCUGCUCCCCCUGCAAUAUCAGAAGAGUCCCUUAUCCCUCCUCGACUGCACUAAGCUAUUUUAGAUGUAACUUUUAUGUUUGUAGAUGUUUCAGGAGAGCUCUGAUUUAUCAGCAGUCUCCUCUUCUUUCACCCUCUUGUUCAAGCAUUUCAACAGAGCAACAGAUGGUCCUUGCGGGCCAUUUGCUGUGAUUGGAAUUGUACCGUCCCAAAGAAGGGCUGCUUUCUUAGAGCUAAAAGUGAGUCUAAGUUUUCUUAACCAGUAAGAAUCUCAAAUGACACCUCGAUUUUCCUUGCUGCAAAAGAAAACACACUUCCCAACAGUUGAAGGUUGAAAUCUGCAAACUUUAAAAAUCAUCUCUCGGCACAUGGACUUAUCAUACCCUCCUAAUCACAGAGAAUGGAGAUUUUGAAGGUACAACACAGAAAAUUCCUCAUUUUUGUCUCUGUACCUUUGGAUCCUGAACUUAGAAUGAUGGAAAUGAUUCAUUUGAAAGCAUCCCCUGUUCUCAUUAUUAAUUGAUAUCAUUGGCACAUUUAAGCAUUCGUAGGGUCUAGUUUCAAUUUUGUACCAUAUUGAUGCUUCUUAGAAGAGCAGGAAUUACAUGAGCCAAAAGCUUUAUAUCUUAGUACAGAAAAGGACUGGAAUAAAAAUGCCCUCUAAUAGACUUUUAAUCA
rnacentral:lncRNA from 1 species